UUCACUCCAAAAACAACACGCAGACGACAACAGACGGUCUAUACCUGCCAACUCGUCCGGUUCCAAUCCACUUUCUGUGUCGAUCCCACAGAUAACGAAGUAAUGAGCGAAGCGGCAGGACGCGGCGCUGGACGCCGCGGAGCUGCCACUCAUCCCGGCUGCAGAGAGCGCCGAGGUCCGCUGCUAAUGGUCCCGGAGACACAUCUCCGCGAAGACGGAAACCGUAGCAAUAACGCAAGAGCGCACAUCCAGACUGACGACUCAAGUGAGUGGAUCUUCGCGACUAGAAACGAAGCAACAGCGGGGAGACGAGUGGACCGGAGUCGGGGCGGAGUCUAAAGCCAAUAUGGCGGCACAUUUAAAAUCACAUCUGUGACUUGUAAAUAUGUGAAAGACAUUGUUUGAAUAAUAAUUUCCUUUUGCUGCCGUUGAUUUAUAUUAAAUGUAUACUUUGAGGCGCAAAGCAUAUUUUGUACUUAAAUCCUUUCUUUUGCCCAAAGACCCCAACAUUUGAAAAAAAAAGUAAAAAAAAAGAAA